UACGAAGGGGACUAGCGUUGUUCGGAAUUACUGGGCGUAAAGCGUGCGCAGGCGGUUUUGUAAGUCUGUCGUGAAAUCCCCGGGCUCAACCUGGGAAUUGCGAUGGAGACUGCAAGGCUAGAAUCUGGCAGAGGGGGGUAGAAUUCCACGUGUAGCAGUGAAAUGCGUAGAGAUGUGGAGGAACACCGAUGGCGAAGGCAGCCCCCUGGGUCAAGAUUGACGCUCAUGCACGAAAGCGUGGGGAGCAAACAGG
rnacentral:rRNA from 1 species